UACAGAGGUUCCAAGCGUUGUUCGGAUUCACUGGGCGUAAAGGGUGCGUAGGCGGUGCGGUAAGUCUGUUGUGAAAUCUCCGGGCUCAACUCGGAGUCUGCAUCAGAAACUGCCGUGCUGGAGUGUGGGAGAGGUGAGUGGAAUUCCCGGUGUAGCGGUGAAAUGCGUAGAGAUCGGGAGGAACACCUGCGGCGAAAGCGACUCACUGGACCAUAACUGACGCUGAUGCACGAAAGCUAGGGGAGCAGACAGG
rnacentral:rRNA from 1 species